rnacentral:lncRNA from 1 species
AGCAGCUAGACAGCAAGUGUGGGGCCAGCAUGGGCUUCAUGAAGCUCUAUCUCAGCAACGCAAGAAAGAAGAGGAGAGAGAGGAAGGAAAAGUCUCCUGAAACCUAGCCUGUCCUUGAACUUGUUACAUAGUCAAAGAAGACCUUGAGCUCCUGAUUCUACUGCCUCCCCGACACUUCAUCUUAGUGCCAUAAUUGCAGUAAUAUACCACUAGGGUCUCUACAGUGCUGAGUCCAGGUCUUCCUGCAGCCUAGACAAGUGGCUGGCAAUUGAAUUGCACCACCAGCCCCCGUCACCGGCUUAGUUACAUCCAUUCUGGGGAACGGCAAAAGACCAAGAGCAGAUCACUGUCUUCAUGUCUCUUUCCUGUACUAAGCACACGCCUUCUGUGUUCACAUUCUUCACAUUGCACAAGGGACUGUGACGUUCUUCACUUUGACAUCCACAGGAAGAAGAAGACAUGAAGGAGCCAAUACCACUGCAUGCAAGUCAAUAAGAAAGAGGAAGACUCCAUCAAAGGGCACUGUGAGGUAGAGGAAGAUGGUUGCCUGUUAGGCCUGCAGGCUCCCCUCCCCUGGGAGGCACUGGCACUUGAGGGAGGAGUCGUGCUGCUGGCUCAGAGCAAAUGUUCCUUCUAGUGUCACCCUGCACAUGAAAAAGGCCAACCUUCAAGAGAGCUCUGCUUCUGAGAUAUUUCACAAUAGGAUAGAGAUGCCCAAACCCUGGGCCUAGAGACUCUUUUCUACUCUUAUGAAUUGUCAAGAACACUCAAGAGCCCACGUUUAUACUGCCUACAUCAACCCGUGCAAGGACCAUAUUUAGGGGUUAAAACAAAGUAUUUUAAAGUAUUCGUGCAGCCAUCUCUUUCAAUCAAAUCAUGAAUUUGUGACAUGCUAGCAUAAAAAUCAUAAAUGAUAAAAUAACAUAAAUGAUAUUUCUAUUCUGUAACAAGAAGCUGCUCUCAAAACAAAGGAAAAGUAGCUACCGAGAGAGCAAACACGGCCUCCAGUUUUUUUUAAGCCUCUCUAACAUUUGUCAUAAUAAAAGGUAGUUACUUUCUC